AACGAACGCUGGCGGCAUGCCUAACACAUGCAAGUCGAACGAGACCUUCGGGUCUAGUGGCGCACGGGUGCGUAACGCGUGGGAACCUGCCCUUAGGUUCGGAAUAACUCCCCGAAAGGGGUGCUAAUACCGGAUAAUGUCUUCGGACCAAAGAUUUAUCGCCUUUGGAUGGGCCCGCGUUGGAUUAGCUAGUUGGUAGGGUAAAAGCCUACCAAGGCGACGAUCCAUAGCUGGGCUGAGAGGAUGAUCAGCCACACUGGGACUGGGACACGGCCCAGACUCCUACGGGAGGCAGCAGUGGGGAAUAUUGGACAAUGGGCGAAAGCCUGAUCCAGCAAUGCCGCGUGAGUGAUGAAGGCCUUAGGGUUGUAAAGCUCUUUUACCCGGGAUGAUAAUGACAGUACCGGGAGAAUAAGCACCGGCUAACUCCGUG
rnacentral:rRNA from 1 species